rnacentral:rRNA from 1 species
UACAGAGGGUGCAAGCGUUGUUCGGAAUUACUGGGCGUAAAGCGCGUGUAGGCGGCGAGAAAAGUCCGCUGUGAAAACUCGAGGCUCAACUUCGAGCUGUCGGUGGAAACUUUCUGGCUAGAGUCCGGAAGAGGAGAAUGGAAUUCCUGGUGUAGCGGUGAAAUGCGCAGAUAUCAGGAAGAACACCCGUGGCGAAGGCGGUUCUCUGGGACGGUACUGACGCUGAGACGCGAAAGCGUGGGGAGCGAACAGG